GAGGGAACUGGGCUUGUUUAGCUUGGAGAAAAGAAGGCUCCAGGGAGACCUCAUUGUGGCCUCCCAAUAUUUGAAGGAAGCAUAUAAACAGGAGCAGUAUGACUGUUCAUAAGGGUGGAUAGUGAUAGGACAAGGGGGAAUGGUCUUAAACUGAGACAGAGGAGGUUUAGGUUAGGUAUUAGGAGGAAGUUUUUCACACAGAGGGUGGUGACGCACUGGAACAGGUUGCCCAAGGAGGUUGUGGAUGCCCCAUCCCUGGAGGCAUUCAAGGCCAGGCUGGAUGUGGCUCUGGGCAGCCUGGUCUGGUGGUUGGUGACCCUGCACAUAGCAGGGGGGUUGAAACUCAAUGAUCAUUGUGGUCCUUUUCAACCCAGGCCAUUCUAUGAUUCUAUGAUCAUUCUAUAAUCUGGCAUUCCUUCAAACACUCGCAAGCCCUAGGAAAUAAAGCCAAAAGAAAAAGAACGAACUUACAAAAUCCGAGAGGUAAACAGAUGGCCACACCAUUGAGUUAUACCUCUGUUUGUAGCAGGUCUUUGGGCUGGAGAUCCAGUGUGUCAGCUGUUGUAGUGGCCAUAGAAGAAAAGAAGAGGAAUAGCGGCGAUGUUCAGGAUUGGGAGCUUCUUGCUCUGAGCAUCUUCAUCCUAACAGUUUUUUGUGAAAAAUGCUCAGGGAAAUGAAGGAGUGGGCAUCUCACUGCAGCUUCUCUCUUUGUUUGGGUUUCUUCC
ensembl:lncRNA